UGAGGAAUUUUGCGCAAUGGGAGCAAUCCUGACGCAGCAACGCCGCGUGGGUGAUGAAGGCCUUCGGGUCGUAAAGCCCUGUCAGGUGGGAAGAAUGUCCCGGGACUGAACAGGUUCCGGGAGUGACGGUACCACCAGAGGAAGCACCGGCUAACUCCGUGCCAGCAGCCGCGGUAAUACGGAGGGUGCAAGCGUUAUUCGGAAUUACUGGGCGUAAAGCGCGUGUAGGCGGGCCUGCAAGUCAGAUGUGAAAGCCCCGGGCGUAACCCGGGAAGUGCAUUGGAAACUGUGGGACUUGAGUACUGGCGAGGAUUGGGGAAUUCCCGGUGUAGAGGUGAAAUUCGUAGAGAUCGGGAGGAAUAUCAGUGGCGAAGGCGCCCAUCUGGACGGUAACUGACGCUGAGACGCGAAAGCGUGGGGAGCAAACA
rnacentral:rRNA from 1 species